rnacentral:tRNA from 1 species
GUCAGGAGCGGUGGUAGCUCAGCCGGGUGAGCGCCCGCUUCUCAAUCAAGAGAUGCGGGUUCGAAUCCCGGCGCUGACA